AACGAACGCUGGCGGCAGGCUUAACACAUGCAAGUCGAGCGCAUCCUUCGGGGUGAGCGGCAGACGGGUGAGUAACACGUGGGAAUCUACCCAACCCUACGGAAUAGCUCCGGGAAACUGGAAUUAAUACCGUAUACGCCCUUAGGGGGAAAGAUUUAUCGGGGAUGGAUGAGACCGCGUUGGAUUAGCUAGUUGGGGGGGUAAAGGCCUACCAAGGCGACGAUCCAUAGCUGGUCUGAGAGGAUGAUCAGCCACAUUGGGACAGAGACACGGCCCAAACUCCUACGGGAGGCAGCAGUGGGGAAUAUUGGACAAUGGGCGCAAGCCUGAUCCAGCAACGCCGCGUGAGGGACGACGGCCUUCGGGUUGUAAACCUCUUUUAGCAGGGAAGAAGCGAGAGUGACGGUACCUGCAGAAAAAGCACCGGCUAACUACGUGCCAGCCGCCGCGGUAAGAC
rnacentral:rRNA from 1 species